CACUACUUAAUGCUUUGGAAAGAGGGUUGAGCCUCACACACACAACCAGAGCAGCUUCUCAAUGGGGGGACGGAGCCAAGAGGAGACAGAACUAUCGUUCCGCUGGAGCCAAUCUCCGACCGUGUCUGAGAAGUGAGGAGGCAAAUUAACUCCCUGUCGUCACGAGAGGGCUUUCAUCCUCACAGGAGUAAGAAGAGAGAGAAAAGGGAGAGGGAGAAAGAAGGAGAGAAAGGAGCUGCUGUCUGCGCUGAUAUAAAGGUGACCUGAGCAGCUUUCCAUCCUGUAAACCCUGGCUAGUUUGUGACAGAGUGUCGUGGCUGUGAGCUGAGGAGGUUUCUGGUGACUGCACUCUCAGGAUUUCAGACGGACAGUGAGAGGAGGGAGCCGAAACAACAGAGCUCCUCACCCUCUUAUCCUGCAGCGCUGUGCUCAUUUACACUUGGAUCUUUGUUGGGAAACCCUGGCCUCAGACUAUGGAUGGAUUUAAGACAGUGUUGUGAGUCUGUUGGACAGACGGUGAUACUGACAGCCGGGCUCUUUUUCUUCUGACCAGACAGAACACUCAGCCGCUCUGCCAUGUCCUGGUUCCUGGGCCUGUGGAUUAGCUUAGGCUUCCUGCUGCUGUGCCAGGCCACACUGUACGAGACUAUCCAGCAGCACCACGUUCCGCGGCCCGGACGCAAUGCCAUACAGAUCCUGGAAGGAGGGACUUGUGAGGUGAUCGCAGCCCACCGGUGCUGUAAUAAGAACCGUAUUGAGGAGCGUUCCCAGACCGUCAAGUGCUCCUGUCUACCGGGAAAGGUGGCCGGGACAACACGCAACAAACCCUCUUGUGUGGAUGCGUCCAUUGUGAUUGGGAAGUGGUGGUGUGAGAUGGAGCCGUGUCUGGAGGGAGAGGAGUGUAAGACUCUGCCUGAUAACUCUGGAUGGAUGUGCUCCUCUGGGAACAAGAUCAAGACCACAAGGAACACUGCGCCAUACUCACCUUUUUAGCUCUGGAAGCAAAAUGCAGAGGAUGCUUCAACAGAAACUGAGCUGCAUUCUUGCUUCUGUAAAGAUUCACCCCAGGACCUAACAAAGAGCUCCCUUGCAGGCUCCGAGCCAGGAUCCCCUCCCUCCAAACGGACUAAAACUAUUACAUCAACUGGAUUACCUGUGACUGCAAAAAAAGGAUAUCCUCCUAGAUAAAACAGCUUCACUCGGGUGGUGCCAAGGAUUUUAGACCAGACUAAUCCCUUUUUGAUCAAUGAGCCUCACGUCGGGACUCUCCUCCACAACAACCACGGCCAAUUUCCUACAUGCUCUUUUUUUCUCCCUUUCGAAACUAAAACAGCUUAGCAGGGGUUAUUUAGAGGUUGUAAAAACGUUAUUUGAAGACACUAACGCCUUCCCAAAGGUAAACUGUAUUAUCCUCACUGAGCCUCAGUGCCACUGAGCAAGGGAUCCUACAGGAUCAGUGGCACGUUGGAGGGACAUUAUGUGGGGAUCGAUUGAACCUUUUUCAAUAAUCCUUGUCAUCGGCGUCCAUCUUAGAAGCGACAUCUCAGCAUGCCAGCUUUGUUGUGACUGUGCAGAGCCUGGGCAGUGACCCUGACUGCUGUCGACUCUGCCUACGCAACGCAAUACCCACAGGAACAACAACAACACAGCGCUGAUUAAACAGACACUCAGAGGUCACAAGGGUCAACCCAGGGGCCCAUAGUCCAUGAUUGACAUGUCAUUCAGAACUGUUCUUUGUUGGCACAUUCUAUGUAAUUCAUUGGAGCUUUUUCUUUGUACAUAAUAUACUUGUGUGUAUAUAUACUGUAAAUACAGGAUAAAAAAGGCAGUUUGAGGGCUCUCUUAUACAGUAAACAUAUCCUGCAAGGAGAACCUUCCAUGGAAUUCUUCAGUUCUUUCCCUGAUUAUGAAGUACAGUGAAUUCCUAGUCAAAGGUAGUGGUUGAAUAUGCUCUCUGUGUAUAGGACUGUUUGCAGUGUUUGAUUUCAUUGAGGAUCUCUGGAAUAGACUUUGCGGGACCAUAAUGAGAACGUAUUGGUCUCAUUCACCCUUCAGUGAUGUGCUUGGAAAACAGGAAUCCCUGUAGCUUCUGUAAAGAUGAUUAAACCACUGUACAGAACUGCCUCACAAAAGAAACAAGCAUCAACAGUGACCCAAGUCCUCUUUUUUUGUUAUAAAUUAUCGAUAACAACAGUGCAACUGGGUCCAGUAUCUGAGACUUAUUUUAUGUCCUGUGUCUGCUAUUGAGAAUGGUUGUGGACUUGACUUUGCUUGUUGUGCGUAGAUUCCACACUGACACACUGAAAGACUUCCCAGUGGAUAUUUAGAAAAAUACAUUGAGAAAGUAUUGGACACAUUUGAACAGACAUGCAGUACCUUCACUAGAUAUACAUACAGUCUUAUCAGAAUUAAAGGGGUUUUCUAUAAUGAGU